rnacentral:lncRNA from 1 species
UUUUCUUAGAAAGCAGUCAUAGCUCAGAGAUGGGUAAGCACCGGCCUGCACAGUGAUAUUGCACUCUGCUGGUUGGGUUUUGUCACGUCAGAAUAUCACGAGCACCUGCGAUCAAAAACUUAAUCAGUGGUCCAAGCAAAAAAACACCUAUAUAGUCCUUUUCCUAAACACAACCAUAAAAGGUUUAUCGCUUAUAGUUAGCCAUGUCUUAUCCUUAUAAACAUGCAAACCUAGGUCUCUGCAUGGCCCCUUGUCAACACAUGAAACUAUCUUAUAUCCCGAGAGAUCUAUGCCAUGCCUCUCAACCCGGAACACCGCAAACGAUCUUAGGCCCUCUUCACUGCCGGCGGCCACGUGUUUAGGCUCUCCCGAUGACGACUCCGGCACCUGUCCGGUAAGGUGCCAAUCUAGCACAUCAGAGCAAAAGCUUCUCAAGUCGUGGAACUCGAUCCAUAUGUCACUCGACAGGCGGAUCGGCUCAGUGGCAGAAGCAUGUUCUGGCAACGGAGUGAAUCGCAGGGGUGUGCUGAGGAGAGUCUCGCUGCGCUCCUGGACCACAAAAUGUAGGCACCGUAGAUCGGUCGGGACGGCUUUGAGGCCGCCACUGCUCGCAGGUUUGGCUGGGAGGAUGUAGUAAUUUGACUUGCUAUUUAGCUCGUUGCCUUCUGUGUCAUAGACCAGUUGGGUGGUGUUGUUGUCAGAGCAAGGCAGGGUGGUGAUGGCAAGGAGAUGGAGGAGGAGGCAGAACAUAUUCAAGGAGCAACUCCUUGGUAAAUUGCAACUGCUAGUUUCCCUAGUUUGAGGCAUCUCCAUCUUGAGCUGUCAUUGCAAAUAACAUGACGUAAGAAUGGUAGCACUAGCACCACAGGCAAGAAAAAAAUGAGUAGGAGACCGACAUAGAAGAAUGAACAACAAUCAACAGUUAGGACAGAGCGGUAUGCCAUCUAGUUCUUCAAAUGAGCAUCUUCAAAGCACCAAGUUUAAUCUGCAUAAGAUCAGUACAUGUUCUUCAUACUGUAUGCAGAAUACAGUACAUUCUUGACUCGUGCCAGAAGCAAUUCCUGUUGCAAUACAAUGAACUUGCGCACAGAUCAACACCAGAAACAAGCAAAACAAAAAACACCUAUAACCUCUCUUUCCUAAAGACAACCAUAAAAGGCUUAUUGCUCACGGUCAGCCACGUCUUGUUCUUAGUAGCAUGCAAACCUACAUCUUUGCAUGGCCCCUUGUCAACACAUGAAACUAUCUUAUAUCCCGAGAGACCUGUGCCAUGCCUCUCAACCCGGAACACCGCAAACGAUCUUAGGCCCUCUUCACUGCCGGCGGCCACGUGUUUAGGCUCUCCUGAUGACGACUCCGGUACCUGAUCGGUAAGGUGCCAAUCUAGCCUUUCAGAGCAAAAACUAUCAAAAUCAUGGAACUCGAUCCAGAUGUCCCUCGACAAGCGAAUCGGCUCGCUGGCUGAAGCGUGUUCUGGUAGUGGCGUGAACCGCAGGGCGG